rnacentral:rRNA from 1 species
GACGAACGCUGGCGGCGUGCUUAACACAUGCAAGUCGAACGGAAAGGCCCUGCUUUUGUGGUGUUCUCGAGUGGCGAACGCGUGCGUAACACGUGAGUAACCUGCCCUUGACUUUGGGAUAACUUCAGGAAACUGGGGCUAAUACCGGAUAGGAGCUCCUGCUGCAUGGUGGGGGUUGGAAAGUUUCGGCGGUCGGGGAUGGACUCGCGGCUUACCAGCUUGUUGGUGGGGUAGUGGCUUACCAAGGCUUUGAGGGGUAGCCGACCUGAGAGGGUGACCGGCGACAUGGGGACUGAGGUACGGCACAGACUGGUACGGGAGGCAGAAGUGGGAAAUAUUGCACAAGGGGCGGAAGCCAGAUGCAGAAGCGCCGCGUGCGGGAUAACGGCUUUCGGGUUGAAAACAGCUUUCGACUGAAACGAAGCGUGAGUGACGGUAAUGGGUAAAAAAGCACCGGCUAACUACGUG